rnacentral:rRNA from 1 species
CACGCCGAAAGCCCAAGGUUUCCUCGCGCAACGUUCAUCGGCGCAGGGUGAGUCGGCCCCUAAGGCGAGGCAGAAAUGCGUAGUCGAUGGGAAGCUGGUUAAUAUUCCAGCACUUGACUGUAGUGCGAUGUGGGGACGGAGAAGGUUAGGUCUACCAGGCGUUGGUUGUCCUGGGGAAAGGCGGUAGGCAUGGGUCUUAGGCAAAUCCGGGACCCUUUAUGCCGAGCACCGAGACGAGCCCUAUUGGGCGAAGUGACUGAGACCACGCUUCCAGGAAAAGCCACUAAGCUUCAGCUACAGCAAACCGUACCGUAAACCGACACUGGUAGGCAGGGUGAGAAUCCCAAGGCGCUUGAGAGAACUCGGGUGAAGGAACUAGGCAAAAUGGCACCGUAACUUCGGGAGAAGGUGCGCCCUCCGGCGUGGUCACGUGCGUGACUGAGCGCUAGAGGGUCGCAGUAACCUGGCCGCUGCGACUGUUUAUCAAAAACACAGCACUCUGCAAACACGAAAGUGGACGUAUAGGGUGUGACGCCUGCCCGGUGCUGGAAGGUUAAUUGAUGGGGUCAGCCGCAAGGCGAAGCUCUUGAUCGAAGCCCCAGUAAACGGCGGCCGUAACUAUAACGGUCCUAAGGUAGCGAAAUUCCUUGUCGGGUAAGUUCCGACCUGCACGAAUGGCGUAACGACAGCGGCGCUGUCUCCACCCGAGACUCAGUGAAAUUGAAAUCGCUGUGAAGAUGCAGCGUUCCCGCGGCAAGACGGAAAGACCCCGUGAACCUUUACUAUAGCUUUACACUGAACGUUGAGUUCUUCUGUGUAGGAUAGGUGGGAGGCUUUGAAGUGCAGGCGCUAGCUUGCAUGGAGCCAACCUUGAAAUACCACCCUGAAGUGCUUGACGUUCUAACCUAGGCCCGUAAUCCGGGUCGGGGACCGUGUAUGGUGGGUAGUUUGACUGGGGCGGUCUCCUCCCAAAGCGUAACGGAGGAGCACGAAGGUACGCUCAGCGCGGUCGGACAUCGCGCACUGUGUGCAAAGGCAUAAGCGUGCUUGACUGCGAGAUCGACGGAUCAAGCAGGUACGAAAGUAGGUCUUAGUGAUCCGGUGGUUCUGUAUGGAAGGGCCAUCGCUCAACGGAUAAAAGGUACUCCGGGGAUAACAGGCUGAUACCGCCCAAGAGUUCAUAUCGACGGCGGUGUUUGGCACCUCGAUGUCGGCUCAUCACAUCCUGGGGCUGUAGCCGGUCCCAAGGGUAUGGCUGUUCGCCAUUUAAAGUGGUACGCGAGCUGGGUUCAGAACGUCGUGAGACAGUUCGGUCCCUAUCUGUCGUGGGCGUUGGAGAUUUGAGAGGGGCUGCUCCUAGUACGAGAGGACCGGAGUGGACGAACCUCUGGUGUUCCGGUUGUCACGCCCGUGGCAUUGCCGGGUAGCUACGUUCGGAAGCGAUAACCGCUGAAAGCAUCUAAGCGGGAAGCGCGCCUCAAGAUGAGACAUCCCGGAGAGUAAUCUCCCUAAAGGAACCAUGAAGACUACGUGGUUGAUAGGUCAGGUGUGUAUCGCAGUAAUGCCGAGCUAACUGAUACUAAUGAUCCGUGCGGCUUGAUCAU